CAGCAGCCGCGGGAACACGGAGGGGGCUAGCGUUGUUCGGAAUUACUGGGCGUGAAGCGCACGUAGGCGGUUUCUUAAGUCUGAUGUGAAAGCCCCCGGCUCAACCGGGGAGGGUCAUUGGAAACUGGGAAACUUGAGUGCAGAAGAGGAGAGUGGAAUUCCACGUGUAGCGGUGAAAUGCGUAGAGAUGUGGAGGAACACCAGUGGCGAAGGCGACUCUCUGGUCUGUAACUGACGCUGAGGAGCGAAAGCGUGGGGAGCGAACAGGAUUAGAGACCCGCGUAGUCCCUGUCUCUUAUAA
rnacentral:rRNA from 1 species